rnacentral:rRNA from 1 species
UACGAAGGGGGCUAGCGUUGCUCGGAAUGACUGGGCGUAAAGGGCGCGUAGGCGGAUGGCACAGUCAGAUGUGAAAUUCCCGGGCUUAACCUGGGGGCUGCAUUUGAUACGUGUUGUCUUGAGUUCGGAAGAGGGUCGUGGAAUUCCCAGUGUAGAGGUGAAAUUCGUAGAUAUUGGGAAGAACACCGGUGGCGAAGGCGGCGACCUGGUCCGACACUGACGCUGAGGCGCGAAAGCGUGGGGAGCAAACAGGG